GGUCUAUUGGCUCAGUUGGUUAGAGUGCUCGGUUGUCAGCCGAGAGAUCACGGGUUCGAAUCCCGUAUAGACCGCUA
rnacentral:tRNA from 2 species